GAUUUGUUAAUCCAAUGCAUAUCCUGCCUCACUUGAAAGCAAAUCGUAAACAGGGGUUUCAUUGUUGGUAACGCACAACUAGAUGCCUCCAUUGGAAUUUCGUUCAGGUUCCAAUUCACAUCUCUUUAGGUUCCCGAGUAAUCUUUUCUCUUAACUUCCAGAUUCCGUAACGUAUGAUAAACCCUAGAUGUCAUUAUAUUCUCUCUUCGUAGGUAUUCCCAAUCAAGGUUUUCUCAAUCCAUAUUUAAUUUUUCCUGCAACUUAAAAAAAAUUCGCUCAUCCUUGCAUUAAUUGGACCCUCUCUAUAAAAUGGAUAAUCACAAUCGAAAUCGACAUCAGUUCCAUUCGAACAUUUUUCGGUAUUCGGACUAAAGAACAGACGACAUGGCAUCUCAAAUCAAUAUCAAACCACAGCAAGUACCAUCUUCAGUUACCCAGGACAAGUUGAAGAGUUUAGGAUCCCUUGACGAAGGAAACUAAAGCGUCCUUACUGUUCAUGUUACUGGGAAGAAUUGAAUUUUACGUCCACCAAUGACGUUAGCGGUGUCGAUAUGAUUAUUGUUGACGAGCAGGGUGACGAGUUACAUACCAUCAUACCCAAAAAUCUUAUUUGGAAAUUUGAUAAGCAGAUUCGAGAAGGUGGUUUGUACACUAUUGAGAAAUUGCACUUGACUACUGCAAAACCCAAAUUCAGGCCAGCACAGAGUGAAAAAAAGAGGUUACUUUUGUUGGAACACCUCACCCUUCGCACUUGAUGCUUACUCUGUGUGGAUUAUUCCUCAUAAUUUCUGCUUCACUGAGUUUGAGGCACUCGAAUCUAAUCUUCAGAACAUACAUAUUACAGUUCCGGCACUAUCGAUUGGGAUGCACUUUUUUGUUCCAGUGCAACUUGCUCCUAACUUUGCCUUCUUACGUGCGGUAUCACAGGCUAUCUAAAAAACGGAUGCGGAAACGGGGAUACCAAAUACUUGCACUGCUUGGGACAUAGCAAGAUAGAGACUACCCAUAAUAGAUUGGUUUCUACUGAAAAAUAAGUUUUGACGUUUUAAACAAAAGUUAAGGAACCAAGGCACAUAAUGGACAGGUAGCCUUGACUAGCAUUUUUUCAUUUUUUUGGAACCUUUUGGUGAAACUUAUUGAAUCCAACAUCUCAUCAUUAUAAAAUGAUAAAGUUCAGUUAUUAUAUGUGGCAAUCCUCAUUCACUGUAUCAGUGUACUUGAAAUGUAAUCACACAUGCACAAUAUCUCGACGUACCAGCAGUGCUCAAUCGUGUCCGAAUCUAUAAAUGGUGUCAAGAUGCAGAGUAGUUUCGACCAGAUAUAUGGUUGGACCAGGAUCGAUAUUUCUAAUGUCGAAAGAUUAAGUUCACCGCAUUUCAGGACUAUAAUCGACUUUGGCUUGAUGUUAACGAUUCCACUUUUGCCAAGGGAUGGAUAGCAUAUGCACCACAAAGAAUACUGCAUAAGGCAAGGUGGAGCCAAUUAAAUAGAAGAGAAGAGCCUAACGUGUGCUGAGCAUGUAAAGGAUAAAGAAGGGAAUGACUGAAAAAAUGUGGCAACCAAGACAAGGUGAAACAAAUAAGUGAAACUUUGUAAAUGGUCUAUAGCUAUGUUUAUUACUAGGCAAUUUCGCUGGAAGUGUCCUCUUAACGUUGUUUUUUGUAUAUGCCAAUUAUACCUUUAUUUCCUUUUCCUCUUAUUGGAUCCAAGACUAAUUUAACUGCUCUGUUGAUUUCUUCUAUGUACCAUUGCUGAUGUUGUGCUCGGAUUGGAUUCCCUUGAACGGUUGAGCAAUAUCUAGCUGAAGCUUCAAAGGACAUUAUGAAAUUAGCCUGUAGUCAUUCAAGAAACCUUUUGAGAAUCAGUUUUUUUUUUUCAAGCUGAUUUUAGCUACAGAAAAUGGGGAUUUUCAUGUGCAAGAUCAAGAGUGUAAAGCUUAUGUAUACCCUUCAAGCAAAGGCACAGUUCUUGACAGAAGGUGAAUCAAGAUGGUCAGUCGAGCCAUAUUGUGCAUGUAAACGGGUUAUGCCAACGACGCAAUAUAUCUGUUCUCUUAUGGAUUUCUUGCAGAUGCCUCGACAAGAAUUGAUUUGCAAUUUUUGCUGACACAACUAUUGUUUAGUUCGUUGACAAGCUAAUCCUUUCAGGGAUAUUUGGUAUAGAAUGGUGGAACUAUUGGAGCAUGUUUGGUCACAUCUCAUGUUGAAUUAUUGAGCUCAUUAAUAUUAUAACAGAGGGAAGCUUUUUGGUCAAUGUACAGAUGCUAGGAAAAUAUUUCUUGAGACAAAUAUAGGUUAUGUUGCACCCCAAUCCUCCACAUUUAAUAUAAAUUUUUCAGAUCGUAGCUAUGGACAAUAGAUAUGAAUUGUUCAUUGCUUUCUUAGAUCUUCAUUCAUACGAUGUAAUGAGAAACUAUUUCUUUUUCAUAAAUUUAUCAGAAUGAAAUUUCAUCUUUGAUGUG